rnacentral:rRNA from 1 species
AGCAGCCGCGGUAAUUCCAGCUCCAAUAGCGUAUAUUAAAGUUGUUGCAGUUAAAAAGCUCGUAGUUGAACUUCGGGACCAAUAUGUCGGUCGUGCCUCGGUACGUACUGGUGUCAUUGGUUUCUCCCUUCUGAGGAUCCUUGAUGUCAUUAAUUUGGUGUCUUGGGGAAUCAGGACUGUUACCUUGAAAAAAUUAGAGUGUUUAAAGCAGGCAUACGCUUGAAUACAUUAGCAUGGAAUAAUGAAAUAGGACGUUCGAUUCUAUUUUGUUGGUUUCUAGGAUCGACGUAAUGAUUAAUAGGGAUAGUUGGGGGCAUUAGUAUUCAAUUGUCAGAGGUGAAAUUCUUGGAUUUAUUGAAGACUAACUACUGCGAAAGCAUUUGCCAAGGAUGUUUUCAUUAAUCAAGAACGAAAGUUAGGGGAUCGAAGACGAUCAGAUACCGUCGUAGUCUUAACCAUAAACUAUGCCGACUAGGGAUCGGAUGAUGUUAAUUUUUAAUGACUCAUUCGGUGCCUUAAC